UUACAGGAAUACCGAAAUGAAAAUCGUUCUUUGGGGACAAAGGGUUGUUGAGUUUGAAGCGCAACUUGUGUAUGACAAUGGACAGAACUUACCUGUUAUUGGUGUUUUUGUUGGCCUUCUAAUGAAAUCUUACAAUAAUGAUGAAACUCUUAGCAGAGGAUCUGCAUGCAGAUGGUAUCUAAACGAGGACAUUCCUGAAAUAGAUGACUCCUUUGAAAGGUUGGGUGAUGAUUUUCCAAAAAAUUCAAUGGAUAUCAAAUGGUGCUGAGAAGUUUGCUGCAAAAAGCAACCGAGGUGACCUCCCACAGAAAACUGUCGACGAGCUGCGAAACAUGGAUCCAUGGGAGGCAGAGAACACAUAUUUUCUUUGCACUGCCACAAUUACAAAAGUGAUGCCUGAGCAGCCAUGGUGGUUCCAAUCUUGUUGUAAAUUCCAUUGUUCUGCCACCUCUUAUGGCUCGGAAUUCAGAUGCAGUGCAAGAUGUGUCUCAACAAAAGCUUACCCAAAGUUCCGCCUUUGUUUAGAAGGAACGGAUGGCACAGGCGCAUCCGAGUUUGUGUUCUUUAACAGAGUUGCACAACAACUUGUUGGAAAAUAUGUCAUGGCACUGCUAAGGUCAUCUGCACUUCCUCGUGAAAUAGCUGCAGUUGUGUCUCAGAAAUAUACCCUUGCUGUCUCAGUGACCCAGAAGAGCCUCUAAAAGAGAAACAUUUCAUUCCAAGUGAAUGGCAUUCAAACCUUUUUUGGGAGACAUGACUCUAUGUCACAUGAUACUCGUGCUCCUACUAUUAUGCCCCUAGCGAUUCCAACUGGAUCUUCAAGUGGUCAUGCACUUGCUGUAUCUACCAACCCGAGCUCUGUAGACAACAUGCCUGAGCUCCCCAUAGUAGCUGAAAAAGAAAUCAAAAAGACAAGCGCAUCACGUGUGCUUCUUCGCCUCCUGAAGAGAAAGAAUACUGAUGGCUCUGCUGAAAUAGAGUUGUCAAGCAAAGUGACCAACAACGAUGCUUCAAGUGAUGGAACUACGGUGCUGGCAAUUACACCUCUCGUGUAACCAGAACAUUAUUAGUCCUCCGACUCUUUGGUUGUUAUAUACUAAGAUCUUGCCGCUGGUCCUCAGGUUGUUGAUUUUGUUCACUUCUUAUGAAUUGCACUUAUUAGUCAGUUCUCCAAUGUACAGAUAUUCAUGCAACUACACUUUGGAGUAUUAUGUACAGAAUAUAAUAUAGUAUGCCAUUGUGGAUGCCAAAUUAUCGUAAUCUCAUGUUUGUCUACUAUAUUUACAACAUGCAUUACAGCGCUGCUGAAGACCUUACAGUUGAAUCAGGAACUUCCACUAAGCAGACUAACCCUCCUAAGAAAUUUAAGAUGGGCAAGACUGUUGUUACUGCCUCUAAUACUCCAAACAAGCCUAAGAAGGGACACACUGGCUCCAAAAAAAAGUAAGAAAGAGAUUCUUCAAGGGUUUCAUAUUCACAAUCGUCCUCUCGGGUCCUGUAUUCGUCUUCUAGGGUAUCAUAUUCCUCUUCUGAGUCUUCCGAUGCCGAACCCAAUCGUUGCAUAAAAGUUCGUACCGUGCUUUUAUGUUUACGAGCUAAAGUUCUAGCACAUGAAAGUCGAAGUAUAUACUUUAGUCGAGGUAAUGAUCAUACGUCUGUAAUGCAUUGUAUGGCCCAGAAUAGGUCCUAUUCUUUUACCUUUUCCAGGUAGUCGAUGGCUAUUCACAGCUACCACCUUAACACCAAAGAAGAGUUUGACCCAAUGCUUUAUUUCUCGGGCCAGACGGACAUUGGUCCUCGAGUGCAAAGGCAUAAGGGAGCUUGACUGCAAGACUCACCCGUCGAGCAGAGACGAAAGUCGGCCUUAGUGAUCCGACAGUGCCGAGUGGAAGGAUAGCAAUAGGCUCUUUCACAUUACCUGCACCUCAUAGAAUUUUUAGUGCUCUUUGCUAAAGUGUAUCAUCUGUGUUGUAAUGCAGGUGAUAUCCUUCACCUCUUGCGUUUGGAUGGUCACAUGAGCACAAGAUGCUAGCGUUUAAGCUCAUCCGACUCUGCAUGUUAACUAUUCCUGCGAAUGCAACUCCCUUAUGUUAUGUAAUAUAUCAAUGAUCCACCAAAGUAGUAGUGGAUCCAAACUUACCAGUAUUCGAUGAUAUCGAGCUCAUGUUCAGCCAAGUGCUUUUCCGUUUACCGCUGCUUGUCAGCGUAAGCAGAUUUGUUGUGCAUCUGUUCUGUAGCAGAAUGUUAAAAGACUUAAUAUUCAGCUAGCUGCUUUUCCCUCUCAUGCCACCUAUUGGCACAGGCAGAAGAGCCGAGUACGUAUUGUAUAUAGUUUAUUCUACACUAGAAGCUUGUAAGACCUAAUAUUCAGCUAAUUGCUUUUCCCUUUCAUGUCACUUGCUGACAUAAGCAGAGGUGCUGACUACAUAUUGUACAUAGUACUACCUUGUAAGACUUGAACCUAAGUUAUGGUUUCCCUUAUGCAGUGAAGUACUUAUGUGUAUU